CUUGGUGUCUCCUCAGCAUUUCUGAGACAGAUUUCCUUUGUUCAUGAAUAUCUCCUUCCUGCUUUUUCUAGGAUCCUGACUUUCGUACCUGCCUUUCUCAGAUAAGCAAGGAGACAUGCAUGAUGUGUGAUGUGGAUGAAAGGCAAGUCACCUAGGAAGAGGGCUUGUGGCUGCAAGUUGAGUGACCUCAGGUGAGCAGACCAGAGACCCAAGGAGUAACCUAUGUUGCAGUUCAAGUUUGUUGGCUCUCAGGAUGGAGACCCAGGGAAGAGUUGCUGUUUAAGUGCAAAGUGAGUCUGCUAGCAGAAUUCCUUCUUGCUCAUCUCAGGAGAAACAGAACCAUAUACUGGAGGCUGAUUCAGACCAUAUGUGACUUCCUGGAGAACCUUGCCCCCCUCUCUGAAAAGAACUCCCGCUUAGCUGUUAUAGUAACUAAGUUUUCAAAAGGCCAUUCCAGUCCUAGCCAUAGCAAUCAGAGAGGAAAAAGAAAUAAAGGAAUCCAAAUUGGAAAGGAAGAAAUAAAAUUGUUACUGUUUGCAGAUGGCAUCAUACUUAGAAAGUCCUCUGUGAUACAUCGGAAAACUGCUAGAGCUCAUCAGUGAAUUUGGUAAAGUUGUAGGAUACUAAAUUAAUAUAUAGAAUUGUUGGAUACAUCCUCUAAUAGCUUCAGAGAGUGAAUGCAUGGGAAAAAUGAUUUGAGAUCCUAUAAUUUUUAUUCUAUCAUCAUAUUUAAUUGUGCCUUUUCAUAUAGAAGGUUAGGAUAGAAAACAAAGCUCAGGAAAUACCUUAGUAUGCUAGCAGUCUCUUUCCUUCUUGCUCUUCAUAAAUUUCAUUUCAGGAGAGUUUGAGCAUUUGAGGUAUUAAUUUACAAAUCACCAUAAGUUUCUUGCAAUAGUAUGGACUUGUUUGGGAAACAAAUCCUUUAACUUGUGCUUGCAUUCAUUUAAAGUCUGUUGGAAAUUUUUAAUCAAGUUAUUCAAUGACUGAAGCACAAAAA